rnacentral:lncRNA from 1 species
ACAGGGGAGCAGGGAGGCCCAUCGCUACGGGCAGAGGACAGCAGGAUUGUACUGAAAAGUGGAUGGGAUACAGGCAUGUUCACUUGCUAGGGGACAAACUCCCGCCGAUGAGUGAGUACACAGGAGAGUGCGUCCAUCCUUAACAUGAAUGGAGUUGGAGUUAGUGACAUGGCCAAGGGGUGAGAGUGAAGGGCCGAGGAAUGUCUCACAUUGGAGCAACUUGACAUCAGGGGAGAGCUUCUGAUAGCAGUGAGAACAGGAGACACUGGUUAGACAGAAAGUGGGAACCUCAGAGCCACAGAAGUAACCAAAACCCCUUCUAAUCCUGCCCAGAAGCUGUAUAUGAGGGUGUGACCAGAACUGGUGGGUCAUCCAGCUCCUCCUCUUCCUCUACCUCAUCCCAGGGUUUGCCAUGAAUAGCCCUGAAUAGCAGCCAUUCAUGGUCUCUUGUAGGCUCCGCUCCUGCUCUACAGCGUAGGCUCUUAAAUGAUCAGUAACCACAAUAAAACUUCCUAAAAACCCUC